AAGUUAUUACGUUUUCUUUACAAUAAGUAAUUGGAAGAAAAAAAAUUCUAAAAAAAAUUUAAAAAAAAUCGCAAAAAUUUUUUGACCUCUUUUUUGUCGAUAAAAAUAGGUCUAUAGUCCGAUUUUUAAUUCGACGGAAUUCUGACAGCUGUCAUUUUUUGACAAUUCAGAUGUAAUAAGCCUUUUUUGCUUUGAAUUAUUAAUAAAUAAUAUGAAAUGAAAUUUCAUCAAGUACAACUUACAAGAAUGAACUAUUGUUUGUUUUGUGAAUUUAAUGUACCCUAAUUAUUAUGUACAUUUUAAAGAUUAAAUAGAAAAAAACGUGUUUUAAACACGGUAAAACAACAUAUUAUCAUAAACAAAAAUAUGUAUUGAUCAUCAAUCAUCAUUAUCGUCAUCAUAAUCAACUUGGAUUAUAAAAUUGGCAUCUUGUUAAAUUGAUUAUUUUAUGAAGCUAAGAUUUUAUUAACAAAAGGAUUUUCAUAAAAAAGGUUUGUAACCCAUGGAUUAUUGGCCAGGGAGUCCAGUAAUAGAAAAAUAAUUUCCCAAUUUUUUUUGUAACUUCAAAAGUAUGAUAAUAAAAAUUCAAAUAACCAUUUUGAAAUGAUCGGUACAUUUUUAAGCCUUAGUUUUUCAAGUGAAACCUUUAAUUCAAGAAAGGAUUAUUUUUUAAUUUAUGAAAAUGCUCUCCAUUCUUAGUGGGAAUGUUUCAAUGUUGACAACACUUCUGAAAUGUCAAAAUUCCGUCGAAUUAAAAAUCAGAGUUUAGUUUUAUUUAUUUUCAUAUGUACACUUUAACGUGACUCACACUGUAUACAUGGGGGUGAUUUAGGUACACCUUGAUGUAAGGAAUCUAAAUUUUUCUUUUAGACCUCACUGUUUUGGCCACCCUGUAAAUGUGUGUGAGCGUUACGUACGUAGGUUUAGUACAGGGAAUUUAACACCAGGCUGUCAAUUAGUAGGUUCAAAAAUUUGACAGAGAGGGCUCUCUAUUUCCUAUGUAUUACUUUUCUCUAUGGUAUUCAACUUCAACAAAAUAGGGGAAUACCAUCAUUUCCUGUAAUAUAAAAAUAGGUUUCUAUUCAUUCCGCGUUUAUAAUCUCAAUCAUCUUUUGUUAUAAUUAUUGCCAGUUUUUGCUGUAUUGUGUAAAUUGUUAUCUACUUUAUUUGUCUCAAAAUAGGUACCUUACUGUGUGUAAUAGUCAUUCAUCGUCUGUUCUGUGUGCAAGCAGUAUCUAAUUAUUAACAAGACUGACAAUAAAUACCGCCUACUCGCCUAUUACAAAAGGUGUACCUAAAAACAACAACGAUGUUAAAAAGUAACCAAAAAGAUAUCAAAGAGUUACUGGAGAGUGAUGAUGAAUUUCCACCUGAUUAUCAUGAAAUUCCGGAUACCCCAGCAUACCAAAAUGACAUGCGUUUUGAACCAGUAAAAUUUGGAUGGAUUGAUACUAAUUUCAGCAAAUAUUAUAGUAAAAGGAAUGAAACAAAAACGAGGUUAACUGCAUUGCAUUCUUGUUUGAAUGAAAGCUUUGUACAUAACAAGACCCAAUAUUUAAGACCAGGUGAAAAGGCAUUGAUUUAUAAUGGAGUGCUGAGUGAAUCUGAUAUUGUAUGCCUUAAAUAUGUGGAGUCUCUAACAAGUGAUGCUACAUUGCUGUGGUUUAUACAUUUUUUGAUACAAAAAGAUAUGCACACAAACUUUACUUUUCUGAGAACUUGCCUUGUGGAUUCAAUGAGCAUCAAUAAUGAUCAAAGUCCAUUAACAUGUGACUCAGAAAUCAAAAAAUUUAACUUUGAAAUCAUCUACAAUAAAUAAUUAGGUAUUAAGCCCACAAUUUAUACAAUACACCUCGAGUUAGUUGAAUAAAUAAAAUAAUGAUUGUACCUAUUAUUAAGUUUACUCAUAAGAUACGCUAAAUUUUUUAAUUAAUGUAUUUUACUACUGGAUUAAGUACUUUUAUCUAUUUUUAAAACUGACAAUCAAAACUUUUGUUUUCAUUAUUGACAAACUUUAAGCUUUUGUAAAUAAAUUUUUUUUGAAUAUU